GCUCAGUCCUCCUCCUGCAGGCCUGCUCUGGCUCCCUCCCCCACCAGCCAGGUCUCUCCAACCCCCUCCACUCCCUCCCCAACUCCUGCAGAGACUUUGAAGCCAGGACACUCAUGGAGCGAAAUGUCACCCGCAGCAGCAGCAGCUGCCGAGGCAGAGGGGGUCUCUGCUCCAGGAGGCCCAGCGGCUGCUCUAGUGUCACACGUCGCCUUGGCUGAGGGAGUGUAGGGGCCCUGGGCGUUCACUGACCUCCUUGAUCCCCUGCUAACUGGCCUCUACAUUUCUUCUUUGCCAGCCUCUGCCUCUGCUCCGAUGUGCAGAGGCGCAGUGUACCCUGGUUUAGGCGCAGCCCUGCCUCUCCUCUCUGCAUCUGCACUCACCGCAGAUGACUCAAUGCAUUCCUUCAUGCUGAUGGCUCCCCCUGCCUCAUCCCAGCCCCCUCCCUGACCUCAGACCCACCUGAGGACCCUCCUCCCUCCUCGGUCCAUCACACCAGUCUCUUGGUUGUUUCUCACCUCACUUGGCCAAAGCUGGACUCUGGAUCAUCUUCCCUCAAAACCUCCAGCCCCCAAAUCCACCACCAUCCAUCCAACUGCCCCAGCUCAAAUAACUCCUUCAUUCCUUGCUUCCAGUAUUCCCACAUUUAAUCCUUCCUCAAGAGCCAUCAGAUCAACUUUUUUUUUAUUAAACUUUUUAUUGGAGUAUAGUUGAUUUACAAUGUUGUGUUAGUUUCUGCUGUACAGAAAAGUAAGUCAGUUAUACAUACACAUAUGUCCACUCUUUUUAAGGUUUUAUUCCCAUAUAGGUCAUUACAGAGUCCUGAAUAGAGUUCCCUGUGCUAUUCACAGAUCAACUUUCGAAUUAGGUUGUCAAACUGGUCACUGCUCUCCAUCCUGUUGGUAACAUCUGGGUCCUGGCCCUGCCUCAUCUCAGUUUGCCUGGACCAAUGCAGCUGUCUGGUCUCCCCUGACCUGCACACCACGACCCCCACCCCGCCAUUCUCCUCAAGUCAGCCAGUGGGAUCUGUUAAAUAAAUCACAUCACAACAUGGAUGAACCUUGAGGACGUUAUGCUACGUGAAAUAAGCCAGUCACAAAAUGACAGAUCCCAACAUGUGCCCAGCACUGUGCAGAGAAACACAGCAGUGAAACCAGACAAAAUCCUGCCCUCACGGAGCUGCUGUUCUAAUCAGGGAGGGGUGAACAAGAGCAAACAAACUGUGUUAAGUGCUGUGAAAGACAACGAACGCAAGGAGCUCUCUGGCUACAGCUGGAGGAUGGACUGAAGGCGAAGAUGCCCAGUGUGGAGGCUGUGGGGCUGAAGAAAAACACUGGAUACAAAUAGCGAAUCAUGUUGUACACCUGAAACUAAUGUAAUGUUAUAUGUCAACUACAUCUCAAUUAAGAAAAAGAAAGA